rnacentral:rRNA from 1 species
AAGCGCUUGAAGCCAGACUUGUUUAUAGGGUUCAGCCGUCGUUUUCGUCGGUGUACUUCCCUAUUAUCAGGCCAGCAUCAGUUUGGGUGGAAGGUUAAAGGCCUUGGGAAUGUGACAUCCUCCGGGUUGUUUUAUAGCCCUCGGUGUAAUGCUUCCUACCUAGACUGAGGCACGCGUUCGCUAGGAUGCUGGCGUAAUGGCUUUAAGC